rnacentral:rRNA from 1 species
GAUGAACGCUGGCGGCGUGCCUAAUACAUGCGAGUCGAGCGAACAGACGAGGAGCUUGCUCCUCUGACGUUAGCGGCGGACGGGUGAGUAACACGUGGAUAACCUACCUAUAAGACUGGGAUAACUUCGGGAAACCGGAGCUAAUACCGGAUAAUAUAUUGAACCGCAUGGUUCAAUAGUGAAAGACGGUUUUGCUGUCAUUUAUAGAUGGAUCCGCGCCGCAUUAGCUAGUUGGUAAGGUAACGGCUUACCAAGGCAACGAUGCGUAGCCGACCUGAGAGGGUGAUCGGCCACACUGGAACUGAGACACGGUCCAGACUCCUACGGGAGGCAGCAGUAGGGAAUCUUCCGCAAUGGGCGAAAGCCUGACGGAGCAACGCCGCGUGAGUGAUGAAGGUCUUCGGAUCGUAAAACUCUGUUAUUAGGGAAGAACAAAUGUGUAAGUAACUAUGCACGUCUUGACGGUACCUAAUCAGAAAGCCACGGCUAACUACGUG